rnacentral:misc_RNA from 1 species
AAGUCGUAACAAGGUUUCCGUAGGUGAACCUGCGGAAGGAUCAUUAUCAAAACAGCGGACUUCGGUCCCUGCUGCACCCUUGUCUUUUGCGUACCGUAUGUUUCCUCGGCGGGCUUGCCUGCCGGUUGGACAAUAUCAAACCUUUUUGUAGUUGCAAUCAGCGUCAGAAAAUAAUAAUAAUUACAACUUUCAACAACGGAUCUCUUGGUUCUG